GAUGAACGCUAGCGGCAGGCUUAAUACAUGCAAGUCGAGGGGCAGCACAGUGUAGCAAUACAUGGGUGGCGACCGGCAAACGGGUGCGUAACACGUACACAACUUACCCUUUACUGGGGGAUAGCCCAGGGAAACUUGGAUUAAUACCCCAUAUUGCAGAUGACCGGCAUCGGUUGUUUGCCAAAAGUUCCGACGGUAAAGGAUGGGUGUGCGGUUGAUUAGGUAGUUGGCGGGGUAACGGCCCACAAGCCUACGAUCAAUAGCUGAUGUGAGAGCAUGAUCAGCCACACGGGCACUGAGACACGGGCCCGACUCCUACGGGAGGCAGCAGUAA
rnacentral:rRNA from 1 species